rnacentral:rRNA from 1 species
CAGUAGCCGCGGUAAUACGAACCGUGCGAACGUUAUUCGGAAUUACUGGGCUUAAAGCGCGUGUAGGCGGGCCGCCACGUCGGUUGCUGAAAUCCCCCGGCUCAACCGGGGAAGUGGCAUCGAUACGAGCGGCCUUGAGGGGGGUAGGGGGAUCUGGAACUUCCGGUGGAGCGGUGAAAUGCGUUGAGAUCGGAAGGAACGCCCGUGGCGAAAGCGAGGUCCUGGACCCUUUCUGACGCUGAGACGCGAAAGCCAGGGGAGCGAACGGGAUUAGAUACCCCCGUAGUCCCUGUCUCUUAUA